rnacentral:rRNA from 1 species
GAUGAACGCUGGCGGCGUGCUUAACACAUGCCAGUCGAACGGAAAGGCCAGUGCUUGCCCUGGUGCUCGAGUGGCGAACGGGUGAGUAACACGUGGGUGAUCUGCCCUGCACUUUGGGAUAAGCCUGGGAAACUGGGUCUAAUACCAGAUAGGACCAUGCUUUGGAUGGUGUGGUGGAAAGUUUUUUCGGUGUGGGAUGAGCUUGCGGCCUAUCAGCUUGUUGGUGGGGUAAUGGCCUACCAAGGCGUCGACGGGUAGCCGGCCUGAGAGGGUGUACGGCCCAAUUGGGACUGAGGUACGGCCCAGACGCCUACGGGAGGCAGCAGUGGGGAAUAUUGCACAAUGGGCGCAAGCCUGAUGCAGCGACGCCGCGUGGGGGAUGACGGCCUUCGGGUUGUAAACUCCUUUCGCAACUGACGAAGCUUUUUGUGACGGUAGGUUGAGAAGAAGCACCGGCUAACUACGUG